rnacentral:rRNA from 1 species
UACGUAGGGUGCAAGCGUUGUCCGGAAUUAUUGGGCGUAAAGAGCUCGUAGGCGGCUCGUCGCGUCUGCUGUGAAAGCCCGGGGCUUAACCCCGGGUCUGCAGUGGGUACGGGCGGACUAGAGUACUGCAGGGGAGACUGGAAUUCCGGGUGUAGCGGUGGAAUGCGUAGAGAUCCGGAAGAACACCGGUGGCGAAGGCGGUCUGCUGGGGUGAGGCUGACGCUGAGGCGCGACAGCGUGGGGAGCAAACAGG